UUAACAUUAGCAGCAAACAGUAACAAACACUACCUCUUAUCUGGAGAACCAGGAGUCAAAUGUUUAGUAGAUGUAACCUAUAAAGUUGAUAAUGUGAAAAUGUCCCAAAUGUACAUUUAAGGACUUUUAAGUAGUUACCUUUAAAUUGAUUUAACAUCAACAGGAAGCAGUAACCGCUUUGACAGCCGUUGACAGACGGCAACUCUUUUUAAGAACAACCUUCUGGAAACAUUCCUAGAACUGAAAAAGGAAAUAAUCUUUUGGGAACGUUCCUAGAAUAGUUUCUUUAAAGGCUGCAAAAAACAUAUAGUUUAAGGAAACCAUUAGGGAACACAAACUUCUAGUUUCAGGUGAUCAUUUCUUUUGUACGUUGUACAAUGCAUCAUAUUUUAUGUCCAAACAGCUAGUACAGCUGUUUUGAAGUUAAUUACAUUUGAAGCAUAGUACAGUAAAAUGUGUAAAUACUUAAGUAAAGGAGCAGUAAUAAAGUUUACUCACUGCUAACUAUGUUAUAGUCCAAUUAAGUUUAUUUAAGUAUGUAUUAAAGGAUCUUAUUGUGAAGGACAGUCCCUGUCAAUGUGUUAAAGUAAUACACUUGGUUCAAAUGUAAUUAUGUGUAAUUAGAAGAUAAGACAGAAGGCCUACAGCUAUAUUAUUUUGUAGUGCAGUAAUUAAAUUUGAAAUGUAGUAACCUAACCUGAUGUAAGUUGUCACUAUAAUCUAAGUAGGUUUUGAUCUAUGAAACAAGCUAACAUAGUAAUAUUACUAAUAUUAAAAGCACUCACUAUGUGUCAGUGUCAAUGUGUCAAGUCACAACUUAAAGUUGGAAAAACCUGUUCCAGGUUGGAGUAUAAUCCAUCAUAUUUUAUGAGUUCUUGUUUUAGAUGUCAAAUAUUAGUCUGCAAAGGAAGAGUACAGUUUUUACAGGAAUACAAUGUACAGUAGUGUCACAUAAUUUGAAAUAUAAUGGAAAUAUUUAAGAGCUAUUAUCUCAAAAUCCAGCACCUGCGUAAAUGUGUAACUGCUUCCUAACUAACACAUGUAAUCAUAAAAAAUGUCUUUAACCUUUAUUUUACCACAACUUCCUAGAAAGACUUCUGCUGUAUUGUUUCCCAGUACAUCAGUGAUGCAAUCAAAGCUUUAGUAUUGUGUUAAAGAUCCACCCAGCAGGUCUGGGACAUAUUUUAAAAACACCUGUUCUGAGGCUUGUUUUGAAGGCUUUACAUUGUAUCAGGCUAAACAUAAUUGCUUAUAAAUACAUUGGCAUGUUGUGCAUGUCAGUGCAACACUGAAGAAUUCAAAAAGACAAAGGAGGCAUAGAGAAAGGUAUGAAAGAGUGAGUGGAGUUAGAUUUGUAGGGUUAUUGUCUCAACAGUUUGGAAAAACCUGCAAAGAAUUUGACAAAAUUCUUGUUUUUUAAUUGUUUUUAACCACAUUCUGCGAAAAACUGGCAUUUCAAAUUGCUUGCAGACUAACAAGUAUAUGUGACGUAUAUAGGCAAUCAAAACCUGCCCAAGUGAAGUCUGUACAGCUCAUAUUGCACAUACUGUUUUUUAUUGUUUAUAUGCUGUUCAUAUGUUAUUGUCACACAGCACAUCUUUCUCACACUGUGUUUAUUGUUAUUGCCUUUGCAAAGCCUGUAAGGAGACAUUUAAUAUCCUCCUAUGGAGUGCAAAUGAUAAAUGAAAUGAUUUAAUGUGCUUAUUUGUCUGCACUUGUGUUUAAAUGAUGAGCGUUUUGUUAGUGGUUGCAUACAGAGUUGAUAUACAUUGGCUGAGAGAGCAGCUGAAAUUCCCAUAAAAGUCAUAAAAGAUUUUUAAUGGCUUUGCUUUUCUGCUUUUGUGGUCUGAGGAUACUGGUGUAUUAUUAUGUCCAUACAGGAUGUUUGCAGUGCAGCAGGUUUCAUGGCUGCUGUUUAUAUUCAUGUCCAUUGUGUAUUUGCAUUAAAAAUGUUUGUUUUUUUAAAUAUGGCAUCUGGUGUGAGUAUAUCUUUGAUAAUGUGUGAGCCAAGAAGGUUUGUUCAUGUGAAACUCUUUUCUUUACUGCUUGAACCGUGGUGCUCAGAUAUAGCAGGCUUCUGGUGGGUGAAUCCUACAGUCAGAGGUGGUGAAGACUGUUAGACCACACUGCUGGCAGACAGCCAGGCAGCUAUUGAAGGGAACAUGAUGAUCCUGUUAAUUAUAAAGGUGACAUAACACAAGUGAACCUGAUGCUGCAAACCCACUGGGAUGUUGUCAACUGGCUGUGUAAUCUUCAGUUAUAGGAAGAAAGUAGGGUUUCACAUACUCUUGAAUUAGUACAUUAAAAGCAAACAAUAGUACAGAAACAAAACAACAUGCAGCCUUGUAACUGUACAACACUCAAUCUGAAAUCAUUAACAAUAAAUGCAUGAAUCUUUUUUUUUUCUUUUUUUUUUGAAAUCAUCAAGGCCGUUGACUCCAGCUCAGGCAGAGAUUUGUUUGUUUUCCCAAAGCCAAGUCUGAACUGCGGUGUCCUGGUAGCUUUGUUGGCACUUCCCCCUCAUCUUGUAUGCUUAAGUGGAGGUCAAAAAAGAACUCGGCUGACCUGAGCUGAACUUAAAUGCAUGAAUAGAUUUCUAUAUUGACACAUGGCCCAAGAUGUUGUCUUCCUUCCUGAAAUGUCGUGAACAUCUUGUUUCUGUUCUGGUGAAAGCAGCAACCUCAUAGGAAAUAGACAAAAAAUAGACAGUGAAAAGUUAAAUAAAGAGCUUGUAGCUGUUCUGAUACAAAUAUAAUAUAUAAGCUAUUUUUAUAGAUUUAUUAGUCCUAUUUUGUGCUUUAGAGCCUCUUAGUGCUCUUAGUAAGAAAUCUUAGCUGAGUAUUCACUCAAACCUCUUGUUUGCUUUGUUAAAAAUACACCAAUAAACUGUAGUUGUUUUUGAUAACUGGCUAUCACAUUCACUAAAUAUUGUAUGUAGUGCUAAAAUCUGACAAGGACUUACGAGAAUACGUCUGUCUGAAUGAGUGUCUUGGUGUAACCAGAAGCACGCGGGUGAGUUCAUUCAGGGAUACAGGCUGCACAGUCAUCAGGAAGUGAAACAGAACAGAAUGUGCUGUACUAAUCUGAUUGAAAAACACUGCCCUGAGUGGAGGCACGAAAAAAACAAAAAGACGUUUCAUUUAAACAGCUAAAAGGAGAAUCCUAUGGCAGCAGGAGGAUAUGUACAAAGAAAACAAACUGAACUUAACUCUUCAUUUGGUGACAGACGAGUGGUGAGGAUAAGGCAUCUGUGUUACGUACAUGGGAGUAAUCUCCUGAGUGAUCCCUUUUAUCCCUGAACUUUUGCCCCCUGAAGCAAGAGGUCUGUAUUGCUGUGUCUGCCAAGAACCCUAAAUAAAUGAUUCUUCGCUGCUGCUGAUGAAGACAAACACAGCGGAACAGUGAUAAACAGGAGGAACCAUUUUGUUCUCUUUUUUCAUGUCAAUUUGAGUGAUUCAUUAUCGUGCUAAUAAUCUUUUUGAAGGAUUGUGUUUACUAAAUGUGUGACGUUGUAAGCAUAGUUUACUUAAGUUAAAGUCACAUGUUUAAAUUUUAAAAGGCAAAACUGCAGAUGUAUGUAAA